rnacentral:rRNA from 1 species
UACGUAGGGUGCGAGCGUUAAUCGGAAUUACUGGGCGUAAAGCGUGCGCAGGCGGUGAUGUAAGACAGGUGUGAAAUCCCCGGGCUUAACCUGGGAACUGCAUUGUGACUGCAUCGCUGGAGUGCGGCAGAGGGGGAUGGAAUUCCGCGUGUAGCAGUGAAAUGCGUAGAUAUGCGGAGGAACACCGAUGGCGAAGGCAAUCCCCUGGGCCUGCACUGGACGCUCAUGCACGAAAGCGUGGGGAGCAAACAGGG